rnacentral:rRNA from 1 species
GACGAACGCUGGCGGCGUGCUUAACACAUGCAAGUCGAACGGAAAGGCCCUGCUUUUGUGGGGUGCUCGAGUGGCGAACGGGUGAGUAACACGUGAGUAACCUGCCCUUGACUUUGGGAUAACUUCAGGAAACUGGGGCUAAUACCGGAUAGGAGCUCCUGCUGCAUGGUGGGGGUUGGAAAGUUUCGGCGGUUGGGGAUGGACUCGCGGCUUAUCAGCUUGUUGGUGGGGUAGUGGCUUACCAAGGCUUUGACGGGUAGCCGGCCUGAGAGGGUGACCGGUCACAUUGGGACUGAGAUACGGCCCAGACGCCUACGGGAGGCAGCAGUGGGGAAUAUUGCACAAUGGGCGGAAGCCUGAUGCAGCAACGCCGCGUGCGGGAUGACGGCCCUCGGGUUGUAAACCGCUUUCGCCUGUGACGAAGCGUGAGUGACGGUAAUGGGUAAAGAAGCACCGGCUAACUACGUG